rnacentral:rRNA from 1 species
UACGGAGGGUGCAAGCGUUGUCCGGAUUCAUUGGGUUUAAAGGGUGCGUAGGCGGUCUUGUAAGUCAGUGGUGAAAUCUCAGAGCUCAACUCUGAAUGUGCCAAUGAUACUGCAGGACUUGAGAGCAGUCGAGGUAGCUGGAAUGUGUAGUGUAGCGGUGAAAUGCAUAGAGAUUACACAGAACACCAAUUGCGAAGGCAAGUUACUAGACUGUUUCAGACGCUGAUGCACGAAAGUGUGGGUAGCGAACAGG